rnacentral:lncRNA from 1 species
GGAGGCAGCACAUUUUCACUCCAAUUUCCACUUAAAGCUGCAGCUGCUGUCGCCGCCUGGGAACCCCUAUCUUUUUACAUGUUAUUGUGGAUCAGUUGCCCGCUGCUGCAAUAAAGAACUCUCAGUGGGUUGCCUGGAAUUUCUAACUCAGUGCCACAGAAAACCUGGUGGAUAAGGAAACAAGAGGCUGCGCUUCAGUGGUGAUUUCAUCCAACCAUCCAUCCCCCAGGAGACGCUCAUCAGUCCUUGAAGAAUGCACCUCCUGAUUACAAUCAGAUAUUUUCCAAGUGCCAGCUGGAGAUUAACUGAUGGGAAGUCUCAGGUCAUAGAGGAUAUUGGGCCACAUCUGUCACUCCAUGGGGAAUUGUCAUUUCUGCUCAGUACUGAGGAGCUACGACCUGGGGACAGAAAAACCGGAGGAAUUGCAAAUUUAAAACACACACAGGGAGCCUAACUGGUGGUAUCUGAAUUAGAGCACAUUUUGUCCCUAUAGUCCAAGUUGGAGGCACUGAUGAGCAGCCCAAUUUUGUAAGGGUCUCAAAUAUUUACUUAAAGAAUAGUAUAGUAUAAAUACCUGCAUUAAAUCCAAUUGCUGUCACUAUUAAAAAUGUCAUACGAUUGUUUAUUUCUACUGCUUGCUCAGAAAGCAACCCAUGCUUGACAAAGGCCUGCUAUUUAUAAGAAGGUGCACAGAAAUGAACAGUAUUAAAUUUGGUGCCUGUUUAUUCCUCCAAGCUACCCAUACACCCUGCUUUACACUGAAAUGCUUUCUCCAUGUUUAUCCACAUUGUUUCUUUCCAAGUAAAACUUAUUACACAGAUUCCUCGGGGUAUUUUUUUUCUUUUCUUGAUUCUGGUUAAAUAAACUAUUGAUUUUGUUUUCAAGGUAACUUAAGGGGGAGUAAUACAGUUCUAAUUUGAUAAGUACAAUUGUAAUGCAUUCAAAGUAAACACACUUUAGG